UACGGGAGGCAGCAGUGGGGAAUAUUGCACAAUGGGCGCAAGCCUGAUGCAGCCAUGCCGCGUGUAUGAAAAAGGCCUUCGGGUUGUAAAGUACUUUCAGUCGUGAGGAAGGUGUUAAGGUUAAUAACCUUAGCAAUUGACGUUAGCGACAGAAGAAGCACCGGCUAACUCCGUGCCAGCAGCCGCGGUAAUACGGAGGGUGCGAGCGUUAAUCGGAAUUACUGGGCGUAAAGGGCACGCAGGCGGUUAAUUAAGUUGGAUGUGAAAUCCCCGGGCUUAACCUGGGAAUGGCAUUCAAGACUGGUUAGCUAGAGUCUUGUAGAGGGGGUAGAAUUCCAUGUGUAGCGGUGAAAUGCGUAGAGAUGUGGAGGAAUACCGGUGGCGAAGGCGGGCCCCUGGACAAAGACUGACGCUCAUGUGCGAAAGCGUGGGGAGCAAACAGGGAUUAGAUACC
rnacentral:rRNA from 1 species